rnacentral:rRNA from 1 species
UACAGAGGUGGCAAGCGUUGUUCGGAAUUACUGGGCGUAAAGGGCGCGUAGGCGGCCUUGUAAGUCCUGUGUGAAAUCCCCCGGCUCAACUGGGGAACUGCACAGGAGACUGCUUGGCUUGAGUUCGGGAGAGGGAAGCGGAAUUCCGGGUGUAGCGGUGAAAUGCGUAGAGAUGUGGAGGAACACCAGUGGCGAAGGCGGCUUUUUGGUCUGUAACUGACGCUGAGGCGCGAAAGCGUGGGGAGCAAACAGG